rnacentral:lncRNA from 1 species
GAGAGAGAAGAAGGAGAGAGGGGGGAGGUGGAGGGGGGAGAGAGAGAAGAAGGAGAGAGGGGGAGAGAGAGAAGAAGGAGAGAGGGGAGGAGGAGGGAGAGAGAGAGAAGAAGGAGAGAAGGGGAGGAGGAGGGAGGGGGAGAGAGAGAGAGAAGAAGGAGAGAGGGGGAGGAGGCCUUAACAAAGACAUGUCAGUAAACCUCCACUUCCAGCUCCCUACAGAGAGGAGAGAUGGAGUGUAGAGGUGGACUACUGUUGAUUUUCAGCUAGUAGACAAUUUAUUUUAGAAAACAAAAGCAAUCCUUCAUACAGAGCAAUCCUACAUACAGAGUAAUCCUACAUACAGAGUAAUCCUUCAUACAGAGUAAUCCUACAUACAGAGCAAUCCUACAUACAGAGUAAUCCUUCAUACAGAGUAAUCCUUCAUACAGAGUACUCCUUCAUACAGAGCAAUCCUACAUACAGAGUAAUCCUUCAUACAGAGUAAUCCUACAUACAGAGUAAUCCUUCAUACAGAGUAAUCCUUCAGAGAGAACAAUCCUUCAGAGUAAUCAUUGUGAUAUUAACUGUUCACAAAACAUCUUGAAAUUUGGAGACCCAUUUAGUAUUUUGUUUUGUUUGAAAUAGACCAGGGAUGUCAGAGUCCAUCAGUUAACUUGAGUAAAACAUUUAUCAUUUUAGUGUACACAUUGUCUGAAAGUAUUCAAAAUACAUUAAAAACAUCCCAAAUACAUAAUCACUACAACUCAAAACAACAAUGCAAUGUAAACGCGAGUUGAAUAAAAACGAGUUGACAUUGUGAAUAAAGAAAGUGUGCUUUCUCAAUUUACCUGAUUUUACUAAACGUUACUUCACGCAAAAGCAAGACGUCAAUGUUCUUGUUAUGUUUUUGGAUUGAAAAAUCUUAAACUACACCUUUAAAUUUGAGCAAAUUCAGAAUUUGUAAUUAAUCGUGAUUAAUCACAGCCAAUCCUGAACUAGAUUUAUUUUAUAGUUUGACAGCCCUGACAUGAACAUACUAAAUGAGCUUCACAGGGAUUCAUAGUAUAAUAAUCAGUAAUACACUGUAGAUGUUUUCCUAUUCUGUAUUGACCAAUAGUCUCAUCUUCUCCUGCCUGAUUGAGUCGUCCAUUAGUACUCUGAGGUCAGAGGAAUAAAGAGAUGCCAGAUGGACUCCCUUGGUUUUACCAUCUGUCUGCUGUUGUUCUCUGAGUCUGAGCCAAACCCUCUCUAUAGAUUACCAUUGAAAGAGAUGUGUUUAUUGCUCUUGGUGUCAAGGAUCAAGGAAUUCAUAUAUAUUUUUUUUGUGUGAUUGGAACUGUCCAUAUGACAAAUUGGGCUUUACUUUGAUUUCCUUGCAGAAUUGAAUCUACUUGACAGGUAAUGUGGAUAUACUUGACAGGUAUUUUUUUUAUCAAUAUGGUAGGUCUACAUAGAAGUUAUAGACACUGUUGUACUAAUAUACUCUCUGUCCGUAUUGGCAGUACAAGCGAUCCCCUUACCUCUCUUCUCCUCUCCUCCCCUUCUCUCCUCGCCUCUCAUCUCUUCUCCUUUUCUUCUCUCCACUUAUCCCCUCUCCUCUCGUCUCCUCUUCUCCCCUCUCAACAGCUAAGUGAUGAUCACUGUAUAAUUACCAGCUUCCAUUCUGGUCCUCUUUCGUCUCCAGAUAGUCUUUAAUUGAUGCUAAAUUGUAGUUGUUAUUCAACACAGUGAAUAAGAGAGGGUUUAUUGAUGGUGUAAUUACUUUCUGUCAUGUCUUACAUGUGCUCCUAUCUUUGGCUGAGGGAACGUCCCUAAUGAAGCCCUAUGUUGCCCUGGUCAAAAGUACUGCAUUAUGAAGAGAUUAGGGUGUCAUUUGGGAUGCACACCGUGCAUUUAUGUUGUUGGCGGUGGGGUUGUUAUAGCUACCCUGGUGUACAUACUGUGUGUAUAACAACGGGCUGCUCCCAACCACCAACCGUUGGAACAUUCUGUUUUGACUGUCUGGGACAAGAGAAGAAGAAGAAAAGAAGAACUCUCACAGGACAAUAAAGUUAUUCUAACAGGACGAUAAAGUUAUUCUAACAGGACGAUAAAGUUAUCCUAACAGGACGAUAAAGUUAUUCUAACAGGACGAUAAAGUUAUCCUAACAGGACGAUAAAGUUAUUCUAACAGGACAAUAAAGUUAUCCUAACAGGACGAUAAAGUUAUCCUAACAGGACGAUAAAGUUAUCCUAACAGGACGAUAAAGUUAUCCUCACAGGACGAUAAAGUUAUCCUAACAGGACAAUAAAGUUAUUCUAACAGGACGAUAAAGUUAUCCUAACAGGACGAUAAAGUUAUCCUAACAGGACGAUAAAAUUAUCCUAACAGGACGAUAAAGUUAUCCUAACAGGACGAUAAAGUUAUCCUAACAGGACAAUAAAGUUAUCCUAACAGAACGAUAAAAUUAUCCUAACAGGACGAUAAAGUUAUCCUAACAGGACAAUAAAGUUAUUCUAAUUGAAAUGGAUUUGAAUAGAACAGACAUCAUAGACUAGAGCUCAUUCAUGUGUCAGGUACCUAGAGAGAAAAAAGAGGAAGGGUGAAAUGAAGUUGAUCACUUUGAUUUAUUUAUUAGAAUGGAAAGAAACAGAGAAUCACCAAAACAUCUGGUUGAUUCAAAUGACAGAACUUUUCCUGUGAGCAAUAAACAAACAGAAAACAACAAAAACUGUGAUGGCAUCUAAUCAAUAGAAUAUGUUGAUACUGUGAUGGCAUCUAAUCAAUAGAAUAUGUUGAUACUGUGAUGGCAUCUAAUCAAUAGAAUAUGUUGAUACUGUGAUGGCAUCUAAU